CAUGAACCGCGUGCGUCUGGGUCGCUGACGUGCGCGGAAUCACGUUGCCGACUCGGCGGGAAUGAAUGGCGUGCAGAAAGGGGACGGCGCCGCUCUUGCGCGAGCACGUUCCAGCCGCUCAAGAGAUGGUGACAUGUUUUCCGCAGGACGGCUGAAAACUCUGACUGGCCUUGUAUGUGACUGAGGUGGUAAGACGGUCUGCAAGAAGAAAUAAACAGUGCCACAAAGUGCUCGCCACGGAAGAGCAAAAUAAACGAUCUUUAACUGCUGCGAAGAUGAAAGUUGGCUAUGAAGACAUAAAGAAGAAGAAUGGUACGGGCAGAUGAACCGCUCUUCUAGAAUUUUUUUUCCACCAUAAAUAUCUAAAUUAUAUCUAAAUUAUAAAUUAUAACGAGACAUUCGCGGUUUUGUUUUCUUUAUUCUUUAUGUAUGUUUCGUUUUCACCUCCUGCGUUCAACCCUCUCGUGGGUGUGAGCCAAGUAUUGAGGCAACAAGAACAUUUUGUAUCGCUCUGUAUCAGGCUUUGGACCAGAGGGCAGCCAAAACUGCUUCUCGCGUGCCCCAAGGGGUUCCUUGCAGGCCUACUUGCGGCUGACCGUGAGCUACUCGACCGCACAGCCAUAUAGCACAAUUUUGCACUAUAUUCUGCUACAUUGAUUUUGCGAUAUAGUUCUAUAUAACACGCUUUCGUAAUACGUUUCCACCUUUGGUCAAAGCGUCCAGACGCUCUUCGUGAACCUAUUGGCAUCUGCGGCACACACACACAAAAAAAAACAUAGACGUGGCUGUUUUCCUUGGAACAAAGUAUAAGCACUGGUAAGCAGCCAAUGACCCUAAAGUAUGAAAUUUAUGUCUUACAGUUCCGUCUAUUGACAAAAGAUAGAUAAUGCGGCGCUUUGAAUAGGUCAUUCUCGUCGCCCCUACUCUUAAAGAAGGAAAUCUAUCAUUGUGGUUUUUCUCCAACUGCGCGAAUGAACACAGUAGAAAUAAGUGUAAAUGUCGGAUUGAGAAUGAGGAAGGGGGUAGGUAGGUUAGGUAUAAGUAGGUAAGUAUGUAGGGUUAAACGGGGUUUACCUGAAGAGGUUGGAAGCGGCGCGUCACCGGAUACUACAAUUCAAUUGUAUUCAAAGAAAUGUAUUUGAUUUAAGAACAAUAAAUAAAGAAUUUAUAAUGAACA